UCGAGCGAGCGGAACUAACAGAUUUACUUCGGUAAUGACGUUAGGAAAGCGAGCGGCGGAUGGGUGAGUAACACGUGGGGAACCUGCCCCAUAGUCUGGGAUACCACUUGGAAACAGGUGCUAAUACCGGAUAAGAAAGCAGAUCGCAUGAUCAGCUUUUAAAAGGCGGCGUAAGCUGUCGCUAUGGGAUGGCCCCGCGGUGCAUUAGCUAGUUGGUAAGGUAAAGGCUUACCAAGGCGAUGAUGCAUAGCCGAGUUGAGAGACUGAUCGGCCACAUUGGGACCGAGACACGGCCCAAACUCCUACGGGAGGCAGCAGUAGGGAAUCUUCCACAAUGGACGCAAGUCUGAUGGAGCAACGCCGCGUGAGUGAAGAAGGUUUUCGGAUCGUAAAGCUCUGUUGUUGGUGAAGAAGGAUAGAGGUAGUAACUGGCCUUUAUUUGACGGUAAUCAACCAGAAAGUCACGGCUAACUACGUGCCAGCAGCCGCGGUAAUACGUAGGUGGCAAGCGUUGUCCGGAUUUAUUGGGCGUAAAGCGAGCGCAGGCGGAAGAAUAAGUCUGAUGUGAAAGCCCUCGGCUUAACCGAGGAACUGCAUCGGAAACUGUUUUUCUUGAGUG
rnacentral:rRNA from 1 species